rnacentral:rRNA from 1 species
GACGUAGGGCGCGAGCGUUAUCCGGAUUUAUUGGGCGUAAAGAGCUCGUAGGCGGCUUGUCGCGUCGUUCGUGAAAACCCGGGGCUCAACUCCGGGCUUGCGGGCGAUACGGGCAGGCUAGAGUUCGGUAGGGGAGACUGGAAUUCCUGGUGUAGCGGUGAAAUGCGCAGAUAUCAGGAGGAACACCGGUGGCGAAGGCGGGUCUCUGGGCCGAUACUGACGCUGAGGAGCGAAAGCGUGGGGAGCGAACAGG